ACAAAACUCAGUUUCAGACCUCAGUUUUGACCUUCAUUGCCUCACGUAGCCAUGAUGGUGAGAAAAUCUCCUGCACAGCUGUCUACAAUAAACAAGAUGGAAGUGCUUCUGUUACCACAGAUUUAACAGCAAGGAUUUUGUUUCCUCCAGUGAUCCUGGACUCAUCUAUUUGCACCAGAGCUGCAAAUCACGUCAGAUGUUCCUGUGAAACUGUUGGAAGCAGUCUCAUGUUACAAUGGGUUGUGGAUGGACAGCAGGUUAUCCAAUCUAACAUGAUUUCUAUCUCCACUGACACUCUGAAUAGUACACAUCUGAAGAGUGUCAUCAUUGUCAAUGAACCACAGGACAGAAAUCUGUCAUCAUUGCUCUGCUUUAGCUUCAACUCUGUAGGAUCAGCCAGGAAACAGUUUUGUACUGAAUGCAGCAUAACAGGUAAUCAGUGUGUCUAUUAUGUCUGUACAGUGUGUUUGCUUAAAUAAAUGCAGAUAUAGGGUACUUCUGAGUAUUUACCUUACAGUAUUUUGCAACACAACAGUGAGAAAAGGUUCUAAUUUUGAAAUUAAAUGUGAUAUAACAUAUAAUUUAUUCAGCAUAAAUUUACUGAAUUUGAAGACUGGUGGAAGAUUUAGAUUGUAAUACUGGAUAUGGUCAAUGAAACUAAACUUAGCUCCAUAUUUAAAAUUAGUAUCAGACAGCUGGUGUAUAAUCUCAUGAUAUGAUUUACUUUUAUAGCUGCCCCUUGCUCAAUGCAUAUACAUGUGAAGUGCCCCACUUAAUAUAAUUGUGUAUGACAUGUCUAAAACAGUUUAUUGCUCAAAGUAAUUUGGUAUGCAUUGUGCAUUUAUUGUUGUAUUGUGUUCCUCCUCAUUAAUAGAAACAUGUUACUCGACAUUACAAACCCAACAUUGCUUCUGUCUAUACAUAUCCAUGAUUAUUAGUGUAAGAACAACCUUUGUUCAGCAUUUUUUUAUCAUUCCCUAUGACUUCUUUGACAAAGGUGUGAAAAUAUAUUUCUCUGGAUAAAGUGUAUUUAAUAAGCUCUGUCAGAGUUAUAUCUUGAUCUUUAUUUUUCAAAUUUGUAUUUCAGAUAAAAACCUGAUGUUUGCGUUCAUUGCUACUACUGUCGUCUUAAUAACUCUAGUCUGUGUCUUGCUGUUUGCUAUCAGGUAAGUGAGUAGUUCAGAGGAAGCCUGUUCAGUUUCCCCUUUGUGUUUUACGACUUUUUUAUGAUUAUAUAUAGGUGUGCAGCAAAACAUUAAAACUGACAACAUCUUUCAAUAUCUUAUUUCAGGUAUCUGAAGAUUCAGCAAAACAGUCUAAAUAAUAGUGCAAAGAAGAGGAAAAAGAUACCACACACAGAAGAAGAUCCCAUCUAUGUCAACACAAGGAGGCCGAGACAGGCAAAAUAAGCUAGAUAAUUAUAACCUGC